rnacentral:rRNA from 1 species
AGGGAAUCUUCCACAAUGGACGAAAGUCUGAUGGAGCAACGCCGCGUGAGUGAUGAAGGUUUUCGGAUCGUAAAACUCUGUUGUAAGGGAAGAACAAGUACGUUAGGAAAUGAACGUACCUUGACGGUACCUUAUUAGAAAGCCACGGCUAACUACGUGCCAGCAGCCGCGGUAAUACGUAGGUGGCAAGCGUUGUCCGGAUUUAUUGGGCGUAAAGCGCGCGCAGGCGGUUUCUUAAGUCUGAUGUGAAAGCCCACGGCUUAACCGUGGAGGGUCAUUGGAAACUGGGAGACUUGAGUGCAGAAGAGGAAAGUGGAAUUCCAAGUGUAGCGGUGAAAUGCGUAGAGAUUUGGAGGAACACCAGUGGCGAAGGCGACUUUCUGGUCUGCAACUGACGCUGAGGCGCGAAAGCAUGGGGAGCAAAC